rnacentral:rRNA from 1 species
AGUAUCAAUUGGAGGGCAAGUCUGGUGCCAGCAGCCGCGGUAAUUCCAGCUCCAAUAGCGUAUAUUAAAAUUGUUGCAGUUAAAAAGCUCGUAGUUGAAUUUUUGCUAAAAAUAACCGGUCUGCUUUUAUUAUUAAAAGUGGUAUCUUGGUGUGUUUUUAGCAAUAAUGUCCUUUGAAAUGUUUUUUACUUUAUUGUGAGAAGCAAUUUUCAGGAUUUUUACUUUGAGAAAAUUAGAGUGUUUCAAGCAGGCUAACGUUUUGAAUACUGCAGCAUGGAAUAAUAAAAUAGGAUUUUAGUUCUACGUUAUUGGUUUUAAGAACUAAAUUAAUGAUUGAUAGGAGCAGUUGGGGGCAUUUGUAUUUAACUGUCAGAGGUGAAAUUCUUAGAUUUGUUAAAGACACACUACUGCGAAAGCAUUUGCCAAAGAUGUUUUCAUUAAUCAAGAACGAAAGUUAGGGGAUCGAAGACGAUCAGAUACCGUCGUAGUCC